CUCCUGGAAACGGGUGGUAAUGCCGGAUGCUCCGCCCCCUCGCAUGGGGGGUCGGGAAGGCUUUUGCGGAAUGGGAUGGGGUCGCGUCCUAUCAGCUUGUUGGCGGGGCGACGGCCCACCAAGGCUUCGACGGGUAGCCGGCCUGAGAGGGCGACCGGCCACAUUGGGGCUGAGAUACGGCCCAGACUCCUACGGGAGGCAGCAGUGGGGAAUAUUGCACAAUGGGGGGAACCCUGAUGCAGCGACGCCGCGUGCGGGAUGGAGGCCUUCGGGUCGUGAACCGCUUUUGAUUGGGAGCAAGCGUGAGUGAGUGUACCUUUCGAAUAAGCACCGGCUAACUACGUGCCAGCAGCCGCGGUAAUACGUAGGGUGCAAGCGUUGUCCGGAAUCAUUGGGCGUAAAGGGCUCGUAGGCGGUUCGUCGCGUCCGGUGUGAAAGCCCAUCGCUUAACGGUGGGUCUGCGCCGGGUACGGGCGGGCUUGAGUGCGGCAGGGGAGGCUGGAAUUCCCGGUGUAACGGUGGAAUGUGUAGAUAUCGGGAAGAACACC
rnacentral:rRNA from 1 species